CUCAGACUGGAUCACAAACGAUGACUCCUCUAUUUUGGUUAAACAUUGAGACUUCUCUUUCAAAAUACCCCUUUUACAUGAUCUUUUAUUUUUUUCACAAGUUUCAAGUCUGUAAAAUAUCACUGCAACAACUUAACACACUCAAAGUAUGGAGGUCAGUUCAUCGUUUCCUUGGGAAGGUCCAAACUAACCUCUGCUCUUACCCCAAUUCUUAACAACCCAGAUUUCGCCCCCAGGAUUGCUGGAUGCUGGCUUUAACCUUUUAUUUUUUAUUUAUUUAAUUAUUUUUUUUGCAAUGAGAGGGGGGGAUGGGGUGAGAGAAGCGCUGAGCGGGGAGAGAAAUGGUGUGUGUGUGUGUGUGUGUGUGUGUGUGUGCGUGCAAGCAUACGGAUAUGUGUAAGUGAGGGCUGGUUUUAUUUUUUGCCUUGUCGUUGUAUCUCUUAAUAUGGGGUGAAAAUUGUGAAACUCCCAAUAAAAAUACUGUUACAACAAACCAAGCAAGAACGGAUAUGGAGAGAUAAUGGUGAAGAACGAUCCAGGUAUUAUGAUAGAGAGGGAGGGGACUCUAUACAUUAUGCAGAGACAGAAUCUCAUAAAGAUGGGACUCUGAAAUAUGAGAAUUUAGUCUUUUCCAUGGAUCAGAUCUGUUGCAUGUGGAAUAGGGUCCUUCCAUGGAGGGGAUCUGUUGCGUGUGGAAUAGGGUCCUUCCAUGGAGGGGAUCUGUUGCGUGUGGAAUAGGGUCCUUCCAUGGAGGGGCUCUGUUGCGUGUGGAAUAGGGUCCUUCCAUGGAGGGGCUCUGUUGCGUGUGGAAUAGGGUCCUUCCAUGGAGGGGCUCUGUUGCGUGUGGAAUAGGGUCCUUCCAUGGAGGGGAUCUGUUGCGUGUGGAAUAGGGUCCUUCCAUGGAGGGGAUCUGUUGCAUGUGGAAUAGGGUCCUUCCAUGGAGGGGAUCUGUUGCAUGUGGAAUAGGGUCCUUCCAUGGAGGGGAUCUGUUGCGUGUGGAAUAGGGUCCUUCCAUGGAGGGGGAUCUGUUGCGUGUGGAAUAGGGUCCUGGAAUAGGGGAGAAUGAGGGGCUGGGGUUGUACUAUAGAUGGUGGGUGGUGUGGAGGGAGGGAGGGGAUGGAGGGGAGAAUGAGGGGCUGGGGUUGUACUAUAGAUGGUGGGUGGUGUGGAGGGAGGGGAUGGAGGGGAGAAUGAGGGGCUGGGGUUGUACUAUAGAUGGUGGGUGGUGUGGAGGGAGGGAGGGGAUGGAUGGAGGGGAGAAUGAGGGGCUGGGGUUGUACUAUAGAUGGUGGGUGGUGUGGAGGGGAUGGAUGGAGGGGAGAAUGAGGGGCUGGGGUUGUACUAUAGAUGGUGGGUGGUGUGGAGGGAGGGAGGGAGGGGAGAAUGAGGGGCCGGGGUUGUACUAUAGAUGGUGGGUGGUGUGGAGGGGAUGGAUGGAGGGGAGAAUGAGGGGCUGGGGUUGUACUAUAGAUGGUGGGUGGUGUGGAGGGAGGGGAUGGAUGGAGGGGAGAAUGAGGGGCUGGGGUUGUACUAUAGAUGGUGGGUGGUGUGGAGGGAGGGGAUGGAGGGGAGAAUGAGGGGCUGGGGUUGUACUAUAGAUGGUGGGUGGUGUGGAGGGAGGGAGGGGAUGGAGGGGAGAAUAAGGGGCUGGGGUUGUACUAUAGAUGGUGGGUGGAGGGAGGGAGGGGAUGGAUGGAGGGGAGAAUGAGGGGCUGGGGUUGUACUAUAGAUGGUGGGUGGUGUGGAGGGAGGGAGGGGAUGGAUGGAGGGGAGAAUGAGGGGCUGGGGUUGUACUAUAGAUGGUGGGUGGAGGGAGGGAGGGAGGGGAUGGAUGGAGGGGAGAAUGAGGGGCUGGGGUUGUACUAUAGAUGGUGGGUGGUGUGGAGGGAGGGGAUGGAUGGAGGGGAGAAUGAGGGGCUGGGGUUGGACUAUAGAUGGUGGGUGGUGUGGAGGGAGGGGAUGGAUGGAGGGGAGAAUGAGGGGCUGGGGUUGUACUAUAGAUGGUGGGUGGUGUGGAGGGAGGGGAUGGAGGGGAGAAUGAGGGGCUGGGGUUGUACUAUAGAUGGUGGGUGGUGUGGAGGGAGGGGAUGGAUGGAGGGGAGAAUGAGGGGCUGGGGUUGUACUAUAGAUGGUGGGUGGAGGGGAUGGAUGGAGGGGAGAAUGAGGGGCUGGGGUUGUACUAUAGAUGGUGGGUGGUGUGGAGGGAGGGGAUGGAUGGAGGGGAGAAUGAGGGGCUGGGGUUGUACUAUAGAUGGUGGGUGGUGUGGAGGGAGGGAGGGGAUGGAUGGAGGGGAGAAUGAGGGGCUGGGGUUGUACUAUAGAUGGUGGGUGGUGUGGAGGGGAUGGAUGGAGGGGAGAAUGAGGGGCUGGGGUUGUACUAUAGAUGGUGGGUGGUGUGGAGGGAGGGAGGGGAUGGAUGGAGGGGAGAAUGAGGGGCUGGGGUUGUACUAUAGAUGGUGGGUGGUGUGGAGGGAGGGAGGGGAUGGAGGGGAGAAUGAGGGGCUGGGGUUGUACUAUAGAUGGUGGGUGGUGUGGAGGGAGGGGAUGGAGGGGAGAAUGAGGGGCUGGGGUUGUACUAUAGAUGGUGGGUGGUGUGGAGGGGAUGGAUGGAGGGGAGAAUGAGGGGCUGGGGUUGUACUAUAGAUGGUGGGUGGUGUGGAGGGAGGGAGGGGAUGGAUGGAGGGGAGAAUGAGGGGCUGGGGUUGUACUAUAGAUGGUGGGUGGUGUGGAGGGGAUGGAUGGAGGGGAGAAUGAGGGGCUGGGGUUGUACUAUAGAUGGUGGGUGGUGUGGAGGGAGGGAGGGGAUGGAGGGGAGAAUGAGGGGCUGGGGUUGUACUAUAGAUGGUGGGUGGUGUGGAGGGAGGGAGGGAGGGGAUGGAUGGAGGGGAGAAUGAGGGGCUGGGGUUGUCCUGUUUUUGUCGUUAUAUCUGAAAAUCUCUACAUAAAGUUAAAAAACAAACCAAGAUCAGAGUAACAGCAGCAUAUGAUGAGGGUAAAAGUGUGUGUGUUGGAUUAAGGGAUGGACCCAAUCACCACCAGUCUAACACCGAAGGAUCCAUAUGUGGUUCUGGCUUUAACAAGUCAGGGUCAGGGGUCAGGGGUCAGGGGUCAGGGGGAGAACUCAGCAGCAGACUUGGUUCAUGCCUUAGUUUAUAUUUCUCACAUGAUAUCCUUAUGAAACAUACAUCAUUCUGAAAUACAAUAAAAC
rnacentral:lncRNA from 1 species